GACGAACGCUGGCGGCAGGCCUAACACAUGCAAGUCGAACGAGUGGCGGACGGGUGAGUAAUGUCUGGGAAACUGCCCGAUGGAGGGGGAUAACUACUGGAAACGGUAGCUAAUAACGCAUACCAUCGGAUGUGCCCAGAUGGGCUUAGCUAGUAGGUGGGGUAAAGGCUCCCCUAGGCGACGAUCCCUAGCUGGUCUGAGAGGAUGAACAGCCACACUUGAACUGAGACACGGUCCAGACGCCUACGGGAGGCAGCAGUGGGGAAUAGUGCACAAUGGGCGCAAGCCUGAUGCAGCCAUGCCGCGUGUAUGAAGAAGGCCUUCGGGUUGUAAAGUACUUUCAGCGGGGAGGCGUUACUCGCAGAAGAAGCACCGGCUAACUCCGUGCCAGCAGCCGCGGUAAUUC
rnacentral:rRNA from 1 species